GCCGGAUUAGCACAGCGGUAGUGCAGCGCUCUUGUAAAGCGAAGGUCGGGGUUCAAGUCCCUCAUCCGGCACCA
rnacentral:tRNA from 1 species